rnacentral:lncRNA from 1 species
GGGUAGACUUUGUUCUGAACCAAACAAAACUCCUGUAUGAUUUCUGCUCAAUUUUUUAUUUAUUGUUGAGUUCAAGAAUUUACAAAGGAGAAUUUAAGAUUAAAGGAUUCUAGCAGCGCUUCUUUACUUUGUUCUGAAUGAAACUAAAGUCAUCUAUGAUUUCUGCUCAGAUUCUGAAUUUCUUCCUCCAGGCAGCCUUUAAUAGUUCAAUAAUUUUCAAAGGACAAUUUAAGAUCAAAGGAUUCUCUAAUUUACUUGAGAAAAGUUUAAUUGAAC